UACAGAGGUGGCGAGCGUUGUUCGGAUUUAUUGGGCGUAAAGGGUCUGUAGGCGGUCAGAAAAGUCGGAUGUGAAAUCCCACAGCUUAACUGUGGAACUGCAUUCGAAACUCUCUGACUAGAGUGUGAGAGGGGUAAAGGGAAUUCCCGGUGUAAGGGUGAAAUCUGCAGAGAUCGGGAGGAACACCAGUCGCGAAGGCGCUUUACUGGCUCACUACUGACGCUGAGGGACGAAAGCUAGGGGAG
rnacentral:rRNA from 1 species